rnacentral:rRNA from 1 species
UACGUAGGGGGCGAGCGUUGUCCGGAUUUAUUGGGCGUAAAGAGCGUGUAGGCGGCCAGGUAGGUCUGCUGUGAAAACUCGAGGCUCAACCUCGAGACGUCGGCGGAAACCAUCUGGCUAGAGUCCGGAAGAGGAGAGUGGAAUUCCUGGUGUAGCGGUGAAAUGCGCAGAUAUCAGGAAGAACACCCGUGGCGAAGGCGGCUCUCUGGGACGGUACUGACGCUGAGACGCAAAAGCGUGGGGAGCGAACAGG